rnacentral:rRNA from 1 species
AUUGAACGCUGGCGGCAUGCCUUACACAUGCAAGUCGAACGGCAGCACGGGAGCAAUCCUGGUGGCGAGUGGCGAACGGGUGAGUAAUAUAUCGGAACGUGCCCAGUCGUGGGGGAUAACGCAGCGAAAGCUGUGCUAAUACCGCAUACGAUCUACGGAUGAAAGCGGGGGAUCGCAAGACCUCGCGCGAUUGGAGCGGCCGAUAUCAGAUUAGCUAGUUGGUGAGGUAAAGGCUCACCAAGGCGACGAUCUGUAGCUGGUCUGAGAGGACGACCAGCAACACUGGAACUGAGACACGGUCCAGACUCCCACGGGAGGCAGCAGUGGGGAAUUUUGGACAAUGGGCGCAAGCCUGAUCCAGCAAUGCCGCGUGCAGGAUGAAGGCCCUCGGGUUGUAAACUGCUUUUGUACGGAACGAAACGGUGAGCUCUAAUACAGUUUGCUAAUGACGGUACCGUAAGAAUAAGCACCGGCUAACUACGUGCCAGCCGCCGCCGUAAAAC